rnacentral:misc_RNA from 1 species
UCUCCGUUGGUGAACCAGCGGAGGGAUCAUUACAGAGUUGCAAAACUCCCAAACCAUUGUGAACGUUACCUAUCCCGUUGCUUCGGCGGGCGGCCCGGGCCCCGCGCCCGGCGCCCCCCGGCCCCCCGUGGGCGCCCGCCGGAGGUAAACCAAACCCUUGAAUUGCAUGGCCUCUCUGAGUCUUCUGUUCUGAAUAGGUCAAAACUUUCAACAACGGAUCUCUUGGUUCUG